ACUCCUACGGGAGGCAGCAGUGGGAAUAUUGGACAAUGGGCGAAAGCCUGAUCCAGCAAUGCCGCGUGUGUGAAGAAGGCCUGAGGGUUGUAAAGCACUUUCAGUUGGGAGGAAAAGUUUAUAGUUAAUAGCUAUGAACCCUGACGUUACCAACAGAAGAAGCACCGGCUAACUCCGUGCCAGCAGCCGCGGUAAUACGGAGGGUGCGAGCGUUAAUCGGAAUUACUGGGCGUAAAGCGCGCGUAGGUGGAUUGAUAAGUUGGAUGUGAAAGCCCUGGGCUUAACCUAGGAACUGCAUUCAAAACUGUCAGUCUAGAGUACAGGAGAGGGAAGUGGAAUUUCCGGUGUAGCGGUGAAAUGCGUAGAUAUCGGAAGGAACAUCAGUGGCGAAGGCGACUUCCUGGACUGAUACUGACACUGAGGCGCGAAAGCGUGGGGAGCAAACAGGAUUAGAUACCCUGGUAGGUCAGUC
rnacentral:rRNA from 1 species